GGGGGGUGGGAAAUGGAGUCCGGUGGGGACUACAAGUCCCGGCAGCGCCCGCUUGGGGGGGGGGGGGGAACACGUUGAGGGAGGGAGAGAGAGCGGCCCGCUCGCUGCUCGGUUUAAAAAAAUAUUCCCGGUCUUUGCCCUGCUCUCGGUAGCUGUGUUCCCGAACUGUUGUCGGGAGGUUUCGCUGGAACAGCUGAGCUAGGGAAUCCGCACGGCGCGGGGGACUGAGACCGGUGCCAGGUCGCCCUCAGUCGGUGCCGAAGGGUGGCCGUUGGCUAACGGUCCGCCUCGGUGUGCUGAGGGGGUUUCACGGCUUCACCGGCCCUAAUGAUCCUAUAAUUACAUGGUUCUGUGAUUCCGUGACCAGCCGUCCCCUCUCGGUUCAGUCAGAGUGGGCUCAGGAGCCGAGCACCGAGCCUGGGCGAUCUCUCCUCACAGAUGGGAUGCAAGGGGACAUAAAAAUGCAUGGGGCACAUUUAUACACAGGUGAAACAGACCACAGAAAACAGAGGAAUUCCCCAGGGAACUCGCGAUGGAAACGUGUCUACCUUUUAUAAGGUUUAUAACAAUGAAGCUGUCGUUUUACCUUUGUAUGGAAACCGCCCCCUUUUUUAAUGGAACAUUAAAUUAAUUACAUUCUGACUGUGCAGUUUGCUGGCCCAUAUCUGGAUUUGCAGUAACCAUCAAGAACAUCACUGGAAUUCCUUCUGGGCGAGAGACCCAGGACCAGAUCCAGAGCACGCACUAACAGAAGAUGACGGCAACGCUUGGCCAUUAAAGGCUUAAACCGGUGCCCAAAACCUCCUUUAACAGUAGCAGCACACAAUAAAAGUGCAGCGUUGAGUGUAUUGCAGCCUGAUUCUGUCUACUUCGUGCAUUCCGUUUUAAUUAUUUCUACUGAUUCACACCACCCUCAUGCCACCUACUUCAUGAAGGUUACUCCAGGUCUCCUGAUUUAAAUGCGUGAGAGAAAUACUUUAUGUGCAAACACACACAGACACACUCAGAAGAGGGAGUCGGUAAGCUCGAGAGGCAUUAUUGUUAGCAGUAAUACUUGAAAUAAAAUACAGUUUCUAGAAAACAGCUUGCUACCCUUGAAAGCAGUCUUUCCUUGGAGGGAGGCAGGAAGAGAGGAGCUGUACUCCAAUUGUUCAGACAGCUGACUGUUCAUACACACACACAGAAAAAUCCAAACCAGAGAUUAUCAGAUAUUUCUUAGGAACAUGAAGCGGGAAGGUAAGUCCCCUGGGACACCAAAUUUUCUCCCUUAUGACUGGAGAUACCACAUCCUGUAGCACUGCAUGCUACUGAGGUCUCCCAAAAUAGCUGAACAUCAACUGGAAGUGAGUGAGCCGAGUGGAUUUGUCCUCAGCUCUCAGUGGAGCAGAACUGCCCUUGUGGUCAGGAACUUUCUUCCAGUUUUCAGUCUACAUUUACAGUUGGGUGGUCUACACCCCUUUGUUCACAUACACGCCAGCAGUGCCCUUUGACUCAAAUCCCCCUUUUUUUUUUUUCUUUUUUCACUCCUGAUUGUUUACCCCCAGUGUACUUUCAGGCAGCCGUUGUAUCCCCGAGCAGUCUUCAUAUUCUCCCGGCUAGACCAAACAAGCCCUUCUUGUCUCCCGUGGCAAGACAGACACAUGGUACAAGAACACACAGUUAAGGCCAUUCCAGGAGCCUCGGUGGGGUGAGCUGGAGCAGCUCCUGCUCCGGCCCCGCAGCCUCCCGGGUCCCGGCGGAGAGCAGCCGCAUUGUGCCGCGGUGCUGUGAGCUGGCGAGAGACUGGGCUGACCUCGCUCCUCCUGUUGCUAGGCUGACUUACCACUGCCGGGGGGGGGGGGGGGGGGGGGGGCCUCACUGAUGAAGGGCUUUAUGCAAUUAUAUAU